rnacentral:rRNA from 1 species
ACGGAAGGCAGCAGUGGGGAAUAUUGGGCAAUGGGCGCAAGCCUGACCCAGCAAUGCCGCGUGAAGGAAGAAGGCUUUCGGGUUGUAAACUUCUUUUAAGUGGGACGAUAAUGACGGUACCACUUGAAUAAGCUCCGGCUAACUACGUGCCAGCAGCCGCGGUAAUACGUAGGGAGCAAGCGUUAUCCGGAUUUACUGGGUGUAAAGGGAGCGUAGGCGGUGAUGCAAGUCAGAAGUGAAAACCCGGGGCUCAACCCCGUGGAUUGCUUUUGAGACUGUGUUGCUGGAGUACAGGAGGGGCAGGCGGAAUUCCUGGUGUAGCGGUGAAAUGCGUAGAUAUCAGGAGGAACACCGGUGGCGAAGGCGGCCUGCUGGACUGUAACUGACGCUGAGGCUCGAAGGCGUGGGGAGCAAACAGGAUUAGAUACCCUGGUA